rnacentral:rRNA from 1 species
GUUGGGUAGGGGAGCGUUCUGUAAGCCUGCGAAGGUGUACUGUGAGGUAUGCUGGAGGUAUCAGAAGUGCGAAUGCUGACAUAAGUAACGAUAAUGCGGGUGAAAAACCCGCACGCCGGAAGACCAAGGGUUCCUGUCCAACGUUAAUCGGGGCAGGGUGAGUCGACCCCUAAGGCGAGGCUGAAAAGCGUAGUCGAUGGGAAACGGGUUAAUAUUCCCGUACUGGUGGUAACUGCGAUGGGGGAACGGAGAAGGCUAGGUUGUCCGGGCGACGGUCGUCCCGGUUCAAGCAGGUAGGCAGAGUGAUUAGGCAAAUCCGGUCACUUAAUGCUGAGAUGUGAUGACGAACCACUAAGGUGGUGAAGCAAUUGAUGCCCCGCUUCCAGGAAAAGCCUCUAAGCUUCAGGUUACCAACAAUCGUACCCCAAACCGACACAGGUGGUCAGGUAGAGAAUACUCAGGCGCUUGAGAGAACUCGGGUGAAGGAACUAGGCAAAAUGGUGCCGUAACUUCGGGAGAAGGCACGCUGGCGGUAGGUAAAGUCCCUUGCGGACGGCGCCCAAGCCAGUCGAAGAUACCAGCUGGCUGCAACUGUUUAUUAAAAACACAGCACUGUGCAAACACGAAAGUGGACGUAUACGGUGUGACGCCUGCCCGGUGCUGGAAGGUUAAUUGAUGGGGUCAGCCGUAAGGCGAAGCUCCUGAUCGAAGCCCCAGUAAACGGCGGCCGUAACUAUAACGGUCCUAAGGUAGCGAAAUUCCUUGUCGGGUAAGUUCCGACCUGCACGAAUGGCGUAAUGAUGGCCAGGCUGUCUCCACCCGAGACUCAGUGAAAUUGAACUCGCUGUGAAGAUGCAGUGUACCCGCGGCAAGACGGAAAGACCCCGUGAACCUUUACUAUAGCUUGACACUGAACAUUGAGCCUUGAUGUGUAGGAUAGGUGGGAGGCUUUGAAGUGUGGACGCCAGUCUGCAUGGAGCCAACCUUGAAAUACCACCCUUUAACGUUUGAUGUUCUAACCUAGGCCCAUAAACUGGGUCGGGGACCGUGUCUGGUGGGUAGUUUGACUGGGGCGGUCUCCUCCUAAAGAGUAACGGAGGAGCACGAAGGUUGGCUAAGCAUGGUCGGACAUCAUGCGGUUAGUGCAAAGGCAUAAGCCAGCUUGACUGCGAGAGUGACGGCUCGAGCAGGUACGAAAGUAGGUCUUAGUGAUCCGGUGGUUCUGAAUGGAAGGGCCAUCGCUCAACGGAUAAAAGGUACUCCGGGGAUAACAGGCUGAUACCGCCCAAGAGUUCAUAUCGACGGCGGUGUUUGGCACCUCGAUGUCGGCUCAUCACAUCCUGGGGCUGAAGUAGGUCCCAAGGGUAUGGCUGUUCGCCAUUUAAAGUGGUACGCGAGCUGGGUUUAGAACGUCGUGAGACAGUUCGGUCCCUAUCUGCCGUGGGCGUUGGAAGAUUGAGAGGGGUUGCUCCUAGUACGAGAGGACCGGAGUGAACGCACCACUGGUGUUCGGGUUGUCAUGCCAAUGGCAUUGCCCGGUAGCUAAGUGCGGAAGAGAUAACCGCUGAAAGCAUCUAAGCGGGAAACUUGCCUCGAGAUGAGUCUUCCCUGUCGCUUUAAGCGACCUAAAGGAACGUUUAAGACUAAGACGUUGAUAGGCUGGGUGUGUAAGCGUAGCGAUACGUUGAGCUAACCAGUACUAAUGAACCGUGAGGCUUAACCUG